rnacentral:rRNA from 1 species
GACGAACGCUGGCGGCGUGCUUAACACAUGCAAGUCGAACGGAAAGGCCCUGCUUGCAGGGUGCUCGAGUGGCGAACGGGUGAGUAACACGUGGGUGAUCUGCCCCUUACUUUGGGAUAAGCCUGGGAAACUGGGUCUAAUACUGGAUAGGACCAUGCUGUAGGUGGUGUGGUGGAAAGAUUAGUUUCGGUAGGGGAUGAGCUCGCGGCCUAUCAGCUUGUUGGUGGGGUAAUGGCCUACCAAGGCGUCGACGGGUAGCCGGCCUGAGAGGGUGGACGGCCACAUUGGGACUGAGAUACGGCCCAGACUCCUACGGGAGGCAGCAGUGGGGAAUAUUGCACAAUGGGCGCAAGCCUGAUGCAGCGACGCCGCGUGGGGGAUGACGGCCUUCGGGUUGUAAACUCCUUUCAGCCAUGACGAAGCCCUUGUGGUGACGGUAGUGGUAGAAGAAGCACCGGCUAACUACGU